rnacentral:rRNA from 1 species
UACGUAGGGUGCGAGCGUUAAUCGGAAUUAUUGGGCGUAAAGAGCUCGUAGGCGGCCUGUCACGUCGGUUGUGAAAGCCCGGGGCUUAACCCCGGGUCUGCAGUCGAUACGGGCAGGCUAGAGUUCGGUAGGGGAGAUCGGAAUUCCUGGUGUAGCGGUGAAAUGCGCAGAUAUCAGGAGGAACACCGGUGGCGAAGGCGGAUCUCUGGGCCGAUACUGACGCUGAGGAGCGAAAGCGUGGGGAGCGAACAGG